GACGAACGCUGGCGGCGUGCCUAAUACAUGCAAGUAGAACGCUGAAGGAGGAGCUUGCUUCUCUGGAUGAGUUGCGAACGGGUGAGUAACGCGUAGGUAACCUGCCUGGUAGCGGGGGAUAACUAUUGGAAACGAUAGCUAAUACCGCAUAAUAGUAGAUGUUGCAUGACAUUUGCUUAAAAGGUGCAAUUGCAUCACUACCAGAUGGACCUGCGUUGUAUUAGCUAGUUGGUGGGGUAACGGCUCACCAAGGCGACGAUACAUAGCCGACCUGAGAGGGGGGUCGGCCACACUGGGACGGAGACACGGCCCAGACUCCUACGGGAGGCAGCAGUAGGGAAUCUUCGGCAAUGGACGGAAGUCUGACCGAGCAACGCCGCGUGAGUGAAGAAGGUUGUCGGAUCGUAAAGCUCUGUUGUAAGAGAAGAACGAGUGUGAGAGUGGAAAGUUCACACUGUGACGGUAUCUUACCAGAAAGGGACGGCUAACUACGUG
rnacentral:rRNA from 1 species